rnacentral:rRNA from 1 species
AUUGAACGCUGGCAGCAUGCUUUACACAUGCAAGUCGAACGGUAACAGGUUAAGCUGACGAGUGGCGAACGGGUGAGUAAUGCAUCGGAACGUGCCCGGUCGUGGGGGAUAACGCAGCGAAAGCUGCGCUAAUACCGCAUACGAUCUGAGGAUGAAAGCGGGGGACAGUAAGGCCUCGCGCGAUCGGAGCGGCAGAGGUCAGAUUAGGUAGUUGGGGGGGUAAAGGCUCACCAAGCCAACGAUCUGUAGCUGGUCUGAGAGGACGACCAGCCACACUGGGACUGAGACACGGCCCAGACUCCUACGGGAGGCAGCAGUGGGGAAUUUUGGACAAUGGGCGAAAGCCUGAUCCAGCAAUGCCGCGUGCAGGAAGAAGGCCUUCGGGUUGUAAACUGCUUUUGUACGGAGCGAAAAGGUCUCCUCUAAUACAGGGGGCUCAUGACGGUACCGUAAGAAUAAGCACCGGCUAACUACGUGCCAGCAGCCGCCGUAA